rnacentral:lncRNA from 1 species
CACACUGUUGGGGAAAAACAUCCCAAACAGCAUUCCACAGAACUCAUCCCAUCUCAGCUGCAACGCUACCAGUCCCUGCUCUCUCCUCACUCUUCUCCACCAGGCGUGGGCAUCACCUGCCAAGCAAUGGACUCCCAAAGAUACCUGCUCCCGCUCAGGAAUGAACAGAUCCUUAAAUAGCUUCUCCAUCGCACUGACCCAGCCCUCAAC